rnacentral:lncRNA from 1 species
UCCCAACACCGGCAACUUCCCGUAAAUCUGCACUGAAAUUUUAUCCUGCUCGCUGAGCCUCCGCUGGCCGAUGGCCAGUGCAACAUUCCUGUUGUUUUAGCAGCGCGGAUACCUUAACUGAAGGUUUUCUUUUUAGAAAAAAAAUCGUAUCGAACUGGCCCCGAUAUUAAGAUUUAGGAACUUUGGCCGCUCUAAAAGUCCCAUCCAUUUCAGACAUCCAGUAGGGACCCCAGAAGUGGCACCUGCCCCACCUGGGGACAUCUAGGAGAGUGGCUUCCGGUCGCCUGUAGCUGUUCAGAGUAAGCCACCCUGAGCCUGCAUCGAGGACUAAGCACCCUGCGCCUGACUCCCGGGCGAGCAGUACCACUGCCCCCCGGCCUUGCGGGACAGGAAGGCGCUGGAGCAGGUAGGGCGGCAGCGAGCCCCGCCGCGGGCCUGCAGGAAACCGGGACCUUCUGGACUGUCCUUACCUGAGGCUGAGCAUGGCUCGGAGAACACAGGCAGGCACUUAGAAGGAGGUUCCAGACCCAUCUGCCCUCGCUAUCUGUGAGCCUGUGAGCAAGUUAUAGUUUCUGGAAGAUUCUAAAGAUGGGAGUUUUACAUUCACUGUGGACAAUUUCAAGGAGAAGGAAAAACGAAGUCUUCGUAAAGGGGUGUGCAACUGAUUUUCGUCUUCUGUAGAAGCUUCAAGGGACGUGGAGAGAAGUUCGCCCUGCAUUCCAGGAAGUGCAAAUCAAACGCAGCAAAAGUCAAGCCAGACCAGUGUAACCGUGUUCUGGAUUCUAAAUCGAGUCUCUGAAGACAGGUGCACACGUGUCCUGAGAACCGCAAGCUGCACGAAGACUCCGGGUUCCGCACUGUUCCUAAGGGUUGACACAGUUAGGUAGCGACCAAGACGCCACAGCUGUAAAACGGCUUGGAAACCGGGUUUCCGAGAGGCUUUCUGAGCUGGAGGAGGCACGGUUCUGUACUUCAAAAUGGGUUUUUCCAUAGGAAGCUCUGGGCCCAGCCUUGAGAAGCAAGGACCAAAGAGAUUAGAUGUAGCCGAGGAAGGCGUCCGUCAAAGUCAGCAAGAAAGUC